rnacentral:lncRNA from 10 species
CAAACUUUAGUUGCAUCAGAAUCACAUGGAGGGCUUAAGACACAGAUUUCUGAGCCCAGCCUCCAGUUUCUGAUUCACUACAUUGGGGUGAGGCUCAGGAAUAUGCAUUUUGGACAUGAUUCCAGGUGAUGCUGAUGCUGCUGUUUUGAAGACUAUACUGUGAGAACCACUGGAUAAGAGAUUGCCUCCUUUACUGUAUGUUUUCCACUGAGAUGAAGAUUUUGGUCAUUUCCUCAUUCAUGUUCCUGCUUUUCAAAACCCAAGCAAGAAAGGAAACUUCUACAGUGACUUUCUCAUUAUGAAAUCUUAGCAUUCACUAGUCGGCCAUAAUGGAAAACCAGCCAAAUGGACACAUAUACACUGGUCUGUACCCGCAGAGAAAGAAAUGCAAAUCUCUGUGAUCAGAAAACUAUCCUAUCUUGUACAUUGUUAAAAGUCUGCCUCCAAAAAGUUUACUUCUGGAAUACUGUAAUUGAAUAGAAUCAGGGAUCCUACCUGUGUCCUUCAACUUUCACAUCUUGUCUACUCAAGUAAGGGUUGAAUUUGCAUGACUAUAUCUAAGGUUCGAGGGCUUACCUGUUGGCAGUAGACCCAGUAGUCUAUGAAUGGAAAUGGGCAAACCUGUGACCUCCCAAAACUUUAAUAUGAAAGUUUUGUUUGUGUAUACUCAUGGCAUUAUUCUUUUAAUAAAGAGAUAAUCUAUAUAGUUUUCUUUUUUAAAAGAUACUUUUAUUUCUUUAUUGUUGGGAACUGACACAGCUAAUUUCUUUCUGAAGAGGUUCUUUGGUUGAGAAUGG